CUUGUUGGGUAGGUUGAAAUUGUUUAAACAUGAUUACAUGUACGUUUUGCUGUAAAACACUAGAAUCAUUGAGGGGCUAUGUGUUGCAUUGCAGAGUGCACAGAAACGAGCCCAGUUGUGUAUUCAAAUGCCUCGGCACAGAAUGUAAGCGGACAUUUUGUACAUAUGCAGCGUUUAAAACUCAUUUUUACCGAGUUCACAACGUGGCUUCACAACCCGAAUCAGCCAAAGCCAUUGUUGCUAAAUUGAAAUGCACCAUUUCAUUGUGUGGGCACCGAAGCCAAACUGUGAAAGAAGUCGUUGCUCAUUUAAAGGAGCAUAUAAUGGAGGGGCGGCCUGUAGCAUGUCCAGUAAAAGCCUGCAAAAAAGUUUUCAGUGUCAAAUCAUCAUUCACAGCUCAUAUGUCCCGUAAACAUAGAGAUUUUUCUGUGGAUAACAUUGAUGUUUUGUACAAGGAAACUACAAAUAAGAUCGUUAGUCUGACUCCCACUAUCAUUGUGUGUGGUCAAUCCUGCUUCCAUGCUAAACGAUUCAUGCUGAGUGUGGAUCAACAGAUUGGAAACAACAACAUCUCCUGUUUUAUUUCUGCCCUCUGCAUGAUGUUUGGGAGCUAUUAUUGUUUUAACAUACAUUAUCCAUCGGGGCUGGCGUCUACACUGGAGUUUCUGCAGAGGUGUUUCUUCUCAAUCAACCCAGACAAGGGCAGUAAGGUGGAAGAAACCCGUAAACCCAGACUGCGUGUGAACCCCCGUGUACUCACCUUGAUCCAGGAACUUUCGGAUCAUGAGUGGCGUGAUGUUUGAGAAAGGACUAAAGUCAGUGAGUUAUCAAGACAGUGUUUAAUCUUAACAGAGCUGAAUAGAUUUGUAAAUGUAUGUUGCAUCUCACACCGUGUCUGCUGAAGUUAAAAAAGUUGAAAAGACAUAUUUAUAUUUGUUCAGUGGCUGAAUUUUGCUCCAUGUCAGAAAGGACAAAUGAGAAUUUCAUUGAAAAUAUGUUUUCAAUUAAAAUGUUUAUUUGUUUCUAAAAAAAAAUUUGAAUUAUCAUUAUAGAUACAGUUUAUAUUGGGCUUCCUUGUGUUUUAAAUUUGCAUUUAACUGGUAAAUGUUUGUUGAAAUUUGAUGUUUAUAGAUAUUUGAAAAUAGAAUUGUUUCUAAAAAAGAAAAACUUUUGAAGCAAACAAACAUUAUUAUUAAAAUGUAUACUGGAAAUAGAAAUGUAUUGUAUGUUAUAAUCUUCAAGCCCCCCCUCCAAAAAAAGGGGGUGAAAGUUGGUUCUCAUACUGUUUCUGAUAAAGUUAAAAAGGUUGAAGAAAUUUAUAUCUAUUCAGCAGGUGCAUUUGCUUCAUGUGCUUCAUGAUGUUCAGAAAAGACAAAUGAGAAAAUAAAUAUUUCAAAGGCA